UACGUAGGUGGCAAGCGUUGUUCGGAUUCAUUGGGCGUAAAGGGUGCGUAGGCGGCGCGGUAAGUCGGGUGUGAAAUCUUGGAGCUUAACUCCGAAACUGCAUUCGAUACUGCCGUGCUUGAGGACUGGAGAGGAGACUGGAAUUUACGGUGUAGCGGUGAAAUGCGUAGAUAUCGUAAGGAAGACCAGUGGCGAAGGCGGGUCUCUGGACAGUUCCUGACGCUGAGGCACGAAGGCCAGGGGAGCAAACGGG
rnacentral:rRNA from 1 species